GAUUUCACAUGGAAUGGAGCACAUUAUUGCAUAGAUGCUUCAAAAGAGGAUGGAUCGCUAGGACGACUGGUGAACGAUGAUCACAAAAAUCCAAACUGCAAAGUCAAGACGGUUGUUGUUGAGGGAAAGCCGCACCUGUGUCUAUUUAGUCUAAGAGACAUUUGUCCAGAUGAAGAAAUUACUUACAAUUAUGGGGAUUCCUCUUGGCCCUGGCGUUCAGUAGAAUUGUGUGAUGAGAUAUCGGUGGCCGUAGAUGAAUCCAUUGAGGGUCCUUCCUCAUCAGGAAAAGAGAAAGAAUUGUGUGAUGAGACAUCGGUGGCCGUAGAUGAAUCCAUUGAGGGUCCUUCCUCAUCAAGAAAAGAGAAAGUAAGUGACCAUAUUUUCUUUCUCUAUGAUGUCCAUAGAUUUUCAUAUGUUGUGUGUGUUUGGGGGGGAUGGGCACGACACCGACCUGAAAUAUAAGGACAGUGUUCCUCUAUGAGGAC